AGGCAAAUAAUAGGGGGAAUAUUUUUUUUUUUAAAUGUUUACUUUUUAUUAAUUCUAUCAAAAAGUUUUAUUUUAGUUAAAAAAUUAGGUUUUUUUUUGUUUUAAAUGUAAGUUUUAGCAUGAGUUCAAUAGAAGUUUAAAUAACUUGGAAAUUAUAUUCGCAGUAAAAAAAAUUAAAUAUUAGAGGAAUCUAGAUUUGGUAAUAAUAAAUUAUUAUUAACAAAAUUUGUGCCAGCAGUUGCGGUUAUACAAAUAAUAUAAUUUAAUUUAUUCGGUUUUAGUUAAUUGAUAAUUCUAAAUUAAGUAAGAAUUUAUAAGGUGAAAUUUUAAAUUUUUAUUAAUUUUAAAUAAUUUAUAUGAAUCUAAGAAAUUCAGAUUAUAAACUAGGAUUAGAUACCCUAUUAUUCUGAAAGUUAAUUAUUAAACUGAAUUAGUAUAAGUUAUGGUCUUAAAAAUUAAAAAAUUUGGCGGUAUUUUAGUCUUUUCAGAGGAACCUGUCUCGUAAUUGAUAAUCCACGAUUAUAAUAACUUUAUUUUUAAGUUUACAUAUCGUCGUAGAUGAAUAUUUUAUGAGAAUUAUAAUAUUCAAGAUAUUUUAUUAAAUUAUAAAUCAGAUCAAGGUGUAGUUUAUAGUAAAGUGAAGGUGGGUUACAUUAAUAAUAUUUGUAGAUAAAUGAUUUUGAAUUAUUUUGUAAAAUGGAUUUGAUAGUAAUUUUAAUUAUAUUAUUAGAUUGAUUUUAGCUCUAAAAUAUGUACAUAUCGCCCGUCGCUUUCAUUAUAAGGUGAAAUAAGUCGUAACAAAGUAGGUGUACUGGAAAGUGUACCUUGAAAGUAC
rnacentral:rRNA from 1 species